GCGGUAUGGCUCAGUGGUAAAGUGAGAAUUUAGCAAGUGCAAGGUCCUGGGUUCGAUUCCCAGCACCAGCU
rnacentral:tRNA from 1 species